AUGAUGGUAAUGGUCCGGCAGUUUCAAACUGCCUGGCUCUGAGCUGGGCUCCAUGGAGUCCUCAUAGCAAUUCAGCAGAAAACACAUCUUAGCCAUUUUGCAGAAGAGAAGACUGAAGUUCAGAGGUGAAGUGAGUCAGCCAAAAUCCUGAAACGGGUCUGAGCCAGCUUCUCCGCUGCCUAAGGUGGUCUGCUAUCCACCUGCUCAGGUGCUGCAGCAGGCAGGCAUGCUACCUGAAUUUCCACCACGAGAGGCCUCUACCUGCUCACGGGCUCCCGGCUAAAAUGCUAAUCCAUCUAGAAAGAUUCUGAAUGUGCCCUGCCCAACUCUACAGCCCCUGGAGAACCAUGUAUAAUUGAUAGCCCCGUUGGCUGCCUCAUCUGGGAGGUGUGUGUGGACUAGCUGAGAAGCAGCCAGAACAGUUGAGAGG